rnacentral:rRNA from 1 species
GAUGAACGCUAGCUACGGGCUUAACACAUGCAAGUCGCGGGGCAGCAUGGGGGUUGCUUGCAAUCCCCGAUGGCGACCGGCGCACGGGUGAGUAACGCGUAUCCAACCUGCCCUUCACCACGGGAUAACCCGGCGAAAGUCGGACUAAUACCGUAUGUUGUCCAUUGACGGCAUCCGAUUUGGACGAAAGGCUUGGCGGUGAGGGAUGGGGAUGCGUCCGAUUAGCCAGACGGCGGGGUAACGGCCCACCGUGGCUACGAUCGGUAGGGGUUCUGAGAGGAAGGUCCCCCACACUGGAACUGAGACACGGUCCAGACUCCUACGGGAGGCAGCAGUGAGGAAUAGUGGUCAAUGGGCGUAAGCCUGAACCAGCCAAGUAGCGUGCAGGAUGACGGCCCUAUGGGUUGUAAACUGCUUUUAUGCGGGGAUAAAGUGGCCCACGUGUGGGCUUUUGCAGGUACCGCAUGAAUAAGGACCGGCUAAUUCCGUG